rnacentral:rRNA from 2 species
AGCGUACACGGUGGAUGCCCUGGCAGUCAGAGGCGAUGAAGGACGUGCUAAUCUGCGAUAAGCGUCGGUAAGGUGAUAUGAACCGUUAUAACCGGCGAUUUCCGAAUGGGGAAACCCAGUGUGUUUCGACACACUAUCAUUAACUGAAUCCAUAGGUUAAUGAGGCGAACCGGGGGAACUGAAACAUCUAAGUACCCCGAGGAAAAGAAAUCAACCGAGAUUCCCCCAGUAGCGGCGAGCGAACGGGGAGCAGCCCAGAGCCUGAAUCAGUGUGUGUGUUAGUGGAAGCGUCUGGAAAGGCGCGCGAUACAGGGUGACAGCCCCGUACACAAAAAUGCACAUGCUGUGAGCUCGAUGAGUAGGGCGGGACACGUGGUAUCCUGUCUGAAUAUGGGGGGACCAUCCUCCAAGGCUAAAUACUCCUGACUGACCGAUAGUGAACCAGUACCGUGAGGGAAAGGCGAAAAGAACCCCGGCGAGGGGAGUGAAAAAGAACCUGAAACCGUGUACGUACAAGCAGUGGGAGCACGCUUAGGCGUGUGACUGCGUACCUUUUGUAUAAUGGGUCAGCGACUUAUAUUCUGUAGCAAGGUUAACCGAAUAGGGGAGCCGAAGGGAAACCGAGUCUUAACUGGGCGUUAAGUUGCAGGGUAUAGACCCGAAACCCGGUGAUCUAGCCAUGGGCAGGUUGAAGGUUGGGUAACACUAACUGGAGGACCGAACCGACUAAUGUUGAAAAAUUAGCGGAUGACUUGUGGCUGGGGGUGAAAGGCCAAUCAAACCGGGAGAUAGCUGGUUCUCCCCGAAAGCUAUUUAGGUAGCGCCUCGUGAAUUCAUCUCCGGGGGUAGAGCACUGUUUCGGCAAGGGGGUCAUCCCGACUUACCAACCCGAUGCAAACUGCGAAUACCGGAGAAUGUUAUCACGGGAGACACACGGCGGGUGCUAACGUCCGUCGUGAAGAGGGAAACAACCCAGACCGCCAGCUAAGGUCCCAAAGUCAUGGUUAAGUGGGAAACGAUGUGGGAAGGCCCAGACAGCCAGGAUGUUGGCUUAGAAGCAGCCAUCAUUUAAAGAAAGCGUAAUAGCUCACUGGUCGAGUCGGCCUGCGCGGAAGAUGUAACGGGGCUAAACCAUGCACCGAAGCUGCGGCAGCGACACUAUGUGUUGUUGGGUAGGGGAGCGUUCUGUAAGCCUGUGAAGGUGUGCUGUGAGGCAUGCUGGAGGUAUCAGAAGUGCGAAUGCUGACAUAAGUAACGAUAAAGCGGGUGAAAAGCCCGCUCGCCGGAAGACCAAGGGUUCCUGUCCAACGUUAAUCGGGGCAGGGUGAGUCGACCCCUAAGGCGAGGCCGAAAGGCGUAGUCGAUGGGAAACAGGUUAAUAUUCCUGUACUUGGUGUUACUGCGAAGGGGGGACGGAGAAGGCUAUGUUGGCCGGGCGACGGUUGUCCCGGUUUAAGCGUGUAGGCUGGUUUUCCAGGCAAAUCCGGAAAAUCAAGGCUGAGGCGUGAUGACGAGGCACUACGGUGCUGAAGCAACAAAUGCCCUGCUUCCAGGAAAAGCCUCUAAGCAUCAGGUAACAUCAAAUCGUACCCCAAACCGACACAGGUGGUCAGGUAGAGAAUACCAAGGCGCUUGAGAGAACUCGGGUGAAGGAACUAGGCAAAAUGGUGCCGUAACUUCGGGAGAAGGCACGCUGAUAUGUAGGUGAAGUCCCUCGCGGAUGGAGCUGAAAUCAGUCGAAGAUACCAGCUGGCUGCAACUGUUUAUUAAAAACACAGCACUGUGCAAACACGAAAGUGGACGUAUACGGUGUGACGCCUGCCCGGUGCCGGAAGGUUAAUUGAUGGGGUCAGCGCAAGCGAAGCUCUUGAUCGAAGCCCCGGUAAACGGCGGCCGUAACUAUAACGGUCCUAAGGUAGCGAAAUUCCUUGUCGGGUAAGUUCCGACCUGCACGAAUGGCGUAAUGAUGGCCAGGCUGUCUCCACCCGAGACUCAGUGAAAUUGAACUCGCUGUGAAGAUGCAGUGUACCCGCGGCAAGACGGAAAGACCCCGUGAACCUUUACUAUAGCUUGACACUGAACAUUGAGCCUUGAUGUGUAGGAUAGGUGGGAGGCUUUGAAGUGUGGACGCCAGUCUGCAUGGAGCCGACCUUGAAAUACCACCCUUUAAUGUUUGAUGUUCUAACGUUGACCCGUGAUCCGGGUUGCGGACAGUGUCUGGUGGGUAGUUUGACUGGGGCGGUCUCCUCCUAAAGAGUAACGGAGGAGCACGAAGGUUGGCUAAUCCUGGUCGGACAUCAGGAGGUUAGUGCAAUGGCAUAAGCCAGCUUGACUGCGAGCGUGACGGCGCGAGCAGGUGCGAAAGCAGGUCAUAGUGAUCCGGUGGUUCUGAAUGGAAGGGCCAUCGCUCAACGGAUAAAAGGUACUCCGGGGAUAACAGGCUGAUACCGCCCAAGAGUUCAUAUCGACGGCGGUGUUUGGCACCUCGAUGUCGGCUCAUCACAUCCUGGGGCUGAAGUAGGUCCCAAGGGUAUGGCUGUUCGCCAUUUAAAGUGGUACGCGAGCUGGGUUUAGAACGUCGUGAGACAGUUCGGUCCCUAUCUGCCGUGGGCGCUGGAGAACUGAGGGGGGCUGCUCCUAGUACGAGAGGACCGGAGUGGACGCAUCACUGGUGUUCGGGUUGUCAUGCCAAUGGCACUGCCCGGUAGCUAAAUGCGGAAGAGAUAAGUGCUGAAAGCAUCUAAGCACGAAACUUGCCCCGAGAUGAGUUCUCCCUGACUCCUUGA